rnacentral:pre_miRNA from 1 species
AGUGAGAUAGCUGGGUCAAAUGGUGGUUUCAUUCCAAGUUUUCUAAGGAAUCUCCAUACUACUUUCCGUAAUGGUUGCAUCAAUUUGCAGUCUCACCAGCAAU